CUUUCCUCGGCGCGCUCUGGCUCUCGGCUCUUUCAAUGCCUCUCCCUGGCAGGAGACGUGUUGGACAAGUGGAGGGAUCCGUCCCCCGCCAGCAAGGUCAAGAUUUGGGUGAACGAGUGAGACAUCUGUAAUCAUAUUGUUUCUGCUUGCUGCUACUGCUCCACCAGCUGGAAUUUGAGGUUGCUCUCCUUGUAGAGGACAUGAUAACUUGCUAUCCUGACUGAGAAAGAGAAACAUGUGAGAUAAAUUGUCACCAGCACCACUUCCCUUUGCUGAGACUAGUCCAUCAACAGGACGAGAAUCUGCACUUUUGCUGUUGGUUCAAGAAGGGUGAUGUUUAAGAAUGUCUUAAAUAUGCAAAAUUAAUAGUAACGUAUUUCCUUGUAAGUGCAAAUUCCGCAGCCUUGGAAUAAAGAGGAAAAAAGGAAA